rnacentral:lncRNA from 1 species
GUGGGACCCCUCAGCCUCACCCUCUCUAGGGCGCAGCAAGUCCGCCGCGAGCCCCUCUGCUCAUCGCUCGUUACCCCCCAGGCCCUUGGGCUUGGGCUCAGGCCCAGUCGUUCCUCUGCAACAAAUCCAAUGGAACCGCGCCCUCCCUGAAUCCCACGUCUAGGAAGAGGAGGAGGAGCCCCUCUUGCUUGGGGGAAGGGGCUCCCGACUCGGAGCCCCGAGCCCCAUUCCUCUCCCGCGCCAGCUCUUCGGGACGCGGCCUCCCAGCGGACGCCCUGAGACCUUGCAAGUCCGCUAGGGAGGGGUCGGGACGAGCCGUCGCGGGUGGAUCCGCCCGGCCGAGCAACGACCCGCCCGGGCGCGAGGACCACGGGCUGUCGUGCGGGAGGCGUCGAGGGGCAGUAAACUCCGUUCGUGACCAAACGGAGACGAUUUGAAACUUGCUGCUCACACUGGAUCACCGUCUGGAAGGUGCGACGGGGAAAAAAUACACAUUACACUCCAGCAGGAUUGAACGCUUUCACCCUGUGCCCCGCGCCUGGCGUAACGCGUGGCCCCAGACCACACGCUGUAACCCGGGGUGAGAGGGAGUGAGGUGGGACUUCGUACCGGACCCGGAGCGCCGGCCUCGCCCGCGCGGGCAGCGUUCACUGUGGGGAGUGCUCACUCAGCCUAGGGCGGCCCGGGAGGACUGCCGGGAGGAGGGAGUCGGCCUUGAAUUGAGGCCUCAGCCUUGAAUAGGGUAGGGAGGCAAGCCUAGCCGAGAGUUUAGCACUAGCAAAAGCCUGGAGGCACCAGGGUCUGCCCUAAGAACUGCAGCGCCUCUGCUCUGGCUGGGAUUUAACGCAUUACGUCUCUGCUGUUUAUAGGUGUUGUGUUUGGUCUUACGACUUCGUAUUCUAUAGUUUUUAUUUAUUCCUGUUUUCUGAAUUUUCCCACAUUUGCUUUUAUCUUCUAUCGUGAUUUUCAAGGCAGAAAGUAUUUUUAAUUCUUCUCGCGGCUGCCUUUAGAUUUAUCAAAUGAAAAUAGUUUACAUUUCACACAUUAGUAAAGUCAGUGACAAAUAAUUCGUUUUUAUAUUCCCCCAUGAGAAAUUUUGUGUGCUUUUCUGCCUCCUACCUGCCGCCCUCACUACUUAUAUUUGUCCACUUAAUCAGGACGACAGACCUAACUUUUGUUUACACUUUUUUUUUAAGCCACAACAUUCUUUUUCAAUCCUUGUUUUUGGCUUUUGCCAACUCUGUUUAAUUGGUUUCAAUGUUACUGCCGGUUUUUUGUGCUCUAAUUUUUCUAUUCCUCAUUUGGACCCAUCUCUCACAUGACUGGUGAUUUCAGGGAGGACUCUGGAAUGUUGUAUUUCCUAAGCCUUUGCCUUAGGUGAGAAUGCCUUUAUAAUGAUUUCCUGUUUAUAGGAUUCUUGAGUCUCAAGCUUUCCCCCUCAAAACUCUUGUCUUUAUUUCAUUGUCUUCUGGCACUGAAAAUGCAAAGCUGGGUUUGUCUGUUUAAGGUCAGCAGUUUGCUUGGUGCUUGCAAGGGUUUUUCUUUACCCUCAAAAGUCAAACAUUUUGCCAGUAUAAAUCAAUAUGGGCCUUAUCUAUUAAUUUUCCAGAAACAAAAGAGGUCUUCUUUGUAGCUUAGAAAAGUUUUCUUCCUGUCCAUUCUGUGAAAAGAUUUGGGUUUUUUUCUUUCCUCUCCUCUAAAACUAUCACAUUGGAUCACCAAUGUCAAAUAAAUCUGUUUGUUUUCUCUGCACCCUGGGAGACUAUAUCAAGUUUUUCUUCACCAUUACGGAUUUAAUUUUCUUCAGAGCCAAGAGUACUGUUUAUUUUCUCCAAUAAGACAUUUGAUUCUGCUUGUUUUAUUUUUCUUUCAGCCAAUUUCCAUUCCACCUCUGUCUUGAUCUCAACUUAAUCUCUCUUUGUAGUCUCCAUUCCUAUUUCAUAGACUAAUGUGGUUUUGCAUCUUUAAAAGAACACCAGGAAAAUAAGAGAAUACUAUCUAUAUCUGACUCUGGUCCAAUGCAUAUGAAAACUUUUUUGUUUUUUUGAGACAGAGUCUCACUUAAAAUUUACACAAACUCUAGCAUAGUGUGUAACUAUUGAAUGAAUAACUAAUGCAAUCCCCUUCCUUUCUUUCAGAGCAACUAUGAACUAGACUUUUUUUUUUUUUUUUUUUUUUUUUUUUUCUGAAAUGGAGUCUCCCUCUGGAAUGCAAUGGUGCAAUCUCAGCCCACUGCAACGUUCGCCUCCUGGGUUCAAGCAAUUCUCCUGCCUCAGCCUCCUGAGUAGCUGGGAUUACAGGCAUGUGCCACCACCACGCCGGGCUAAUUUUUGUAUUUUUAGUAGAGACGGGGUUUCAUUAUGUUGGUCAGGCUGGUCUCGAACUCCUGACCUUGAGAUCCGCCCGCCUCGGCCUCCCAAAGUGCUGAGAUUAGACUAUUUGUAUCUAGGUUCAUCAGUUCAGUGAACUAAUCAAUACUUUGUUUUGUUUUGUUUUGUUGUUGCUUAAGAUGAUUUGUCACCUGCUGAUUAAUGAUCACACAAGUUGUUUUUUUUUGAGAGAGUCUUGCUCUGUCACCCAGGCUGGAGUGCAGUGGCAUGAUCUUGGCUCCCUGCAACCUCCGCCUCCCGGGUUUAAGUGCUUCUUUUGCCUCAGUCUCAGUAGCUGGCAUUACAGGCGUGCACCAUUACACCCAGCUAAUUUUUUGUAUUUUUAGUAGAGACAGUGUUUCGCCAUGUUGGCCAGGCUGGUCUCGAAUUCCUGGCCUCAAGUGAUCCACCCUCCUCCACCUUCCAAAGUGCUGGGAUUACAGAACUGAGCCACCGUGCCCGGCCCUGAAAACCUUGAUAAAGGGGCUCAUUUUCUGGGAAAUAAAAUUACAAGGAUAACAAAGAUAUUAAAAACAUCAUCCAAGAAAUAUGUCCAAAAAAGGUUCUGGUGGCCGGCAUCGUUGCUCACGCCUAUAAUCUCAACACUUUAGGAGGCCGAGGCAGGAGGAUGGCUUGAGCCCAGGAGUUCAAGACCAGCCUGGACAACAUAGGGAGACCCUGUCUCUACAAAAAAAUUUAAAAAUUGGGCUGGGCAUGGUGGCUUACACCUGUAAUCCCAGCACUUUGGGAGACCAAGGCAGGUGGAUCACCUGAAGUCAGGAGUUUGAGACCAGCCUGGCCAACAUUAGUGAAACCCCAUCUUUACCAAAAAAUACAAAAAUUAGCCAGUUGUGGUGGUGAAUGCCUGUAGUCCCAGCUACUCGGGAAGCUGAGGCAAGAGAAUCACUUGAACCCAGGAGGUGGAAGUUGCAGUGAGCUGAGAUUGCGCUGUUGCACUCCAGCCUGGGCGACAGAGUGAGACCCUGUCUCAAAAAAAAAAAAAAAAAAAAAUUAAAAAAUUAGCUAGGCACAGUGGUGCACACCUGUGAUCUCAGCUACUCAGGAGGCUGAGGUUGGAUGAUGGCUUGGGCCUGGGAGGUUCAGGCUGCAAGUGGGCCGUGAUCGUGCUACUGCACUCUAGUCUGGGCAGCAGAGCAAGACCUUGUCUCAAAAAUAAAUAAAUGAAAUUUUAAAAAGGCUCUGGCCUCAGACAGUUUAAUGGAAGAAAUCUCUCAAACUCACUGAAUAGAUAAUUUUCACCCUACUAAUCUGCAUCAGAACCCAGAAAAGAUAGAAUGCUGUCUAUUUCAUUUUAUGAAGCCACAAUUCCCCUUAUACCAAUUCCUAAUAAUAGCACAGGAAGAAAGGAAAACUGAAAACCAUACUCAUCAGUCAUCAGUUCCAGGGGUGGAAAAUCCUACAUACAAUUCAAGAAAAUAAAACUGUAGAUUAUUCUGUAUGAAAUUAAUAAGCCAUGAGUUUGUCAACUGAGAAAAAAAAACAAUUAUCAUAAUAGAUGCCAAAAAAAUCAGUCAAAAAUGAAUACCCAAAAAGAACCCUCCUAAUUAACCAGGAACAGUUGAAAUUAAGAAUUAUGUAUUACCGGCCAGGCACGGUGGCUCAUGCCUUAAUCCCAGCACUUUGGGAGGCUGAGGUGGGUAGAUCACCUGAAGUCAGGAGUUUGAGACCAGCCUGGCCAAUAUGGUGAAGCCUCAUCUCUACUAAAAAUACAAAAAUUAGCUGGGUGGGGUGGCAAGUGCCUGUAAUCCCAGCGACUCAGGAGGCUGAAGCGGGAGGAUCACCUGAACUUGGGAGGUCGUGACUGCAGUGAACAGUCAUCAUGCCACUGCACAAUGCAGCCUGGGCUACAGAGUGAGUUGCCAUCUCAAAAAAAAAAAAAAAAAAAAAAAAGCCACGUGAGAUGUGAGUUCCUGUUUCCCUACAGCCUCACCAGCAUAGGAUAUCAUUAGUCUUUUAAAUAUUUGUUUUAAUCACGUCUUCUUUGCCCCAUAGCUGACGGAGGGGUUCCCACUCUCAUGUGAUGGCAGUGGCCAAACACAACACCUGACACUGGGCAGAUUCUGAUUUGACUGGUCCUGGGUGCAACGGGGCUGGCAUGAGACGACUAAAAACUCCCCAGGUGAAUCCAAUGAGCAACCAGGCUAAGGACCAGUGAUCUAACUGUAAGUCAUUCUCUUCUUUUCCCUUUGUAAUUUUAUGUUUCCACCUCAUACUGUGGUUGGCUACAUCUGUUUCUUCCCUCUCCUACUAGAAUGUAGGCUCCAGAUGGCCUUCCAAACAAUACAUGUGGCCCUUCACGCUCCAGGUGAUGACAAGUACCCGUUGCUGAUGGAAGUAGCAGAGUCAUACCUUUCUUGGAAUUUAGGUUCUACAGUCAAUGCUUAUGGCACCCAAUGAGUCAAAAACACCCUUGGCAACUCCUAAGGAAGGCUCUGCCCUGGAACCUGAUGUACUGUUUCCCCAUCACCAUCCAGGGAGAGUUUCCUCCUGGGCCGGAACAGAAAGCUGCCUCCUCCAUCAGGCACCAGAGGAAGUAGGGGGCUUCUGUUUAGGGACCACUUUGCAUAAAUACACAUUUAAACAUGUGCCUCACCCUCAGCACAGCAGGAUGCUCACGCCAUGAACAGCCAACAGGAACCAGAGUGACCGACCCUCCAGGAGGUACACACCUCCCUCCCAUCCCACCCACUUCUGAGCAUAUGGUUCUCACAUCCACCAGUGGGUGGAAUCACCCACACCAUUUAAACUUUUUGUCAAGGAUGUAGAGCUGAAUUCAUGUGAUUUCCCACAUGAGCAAUGUCCCUCCCUCCACUGCACAAUUAUAGCCAGCUCAAGCAGGUCCUCUCCUUCCUUCUACCUGCCCUGCAAAUGGCUCUCUCCUUCACUGACCCCCCGCCCUCCUUCUUAAAGGCUGAUGCUCCCUAGGACUCUAUCCUUGAUGCUUCUCAUUAAUUCUUCUCCCCGCUGGCUCUCAGCCCUACUUAGGGCUCCUGAUCAGUUAAAAAAGACCCAUGAGACCUCCCCUCCCCAGUUAACAGAGAUGUGGCCCAAGAGGCUCCCCACUUCUAAUUUGAGUGGGGGCAAAAGAAGAGAAAGAUCUUAUCUAGGUCUUGGGGGCAGGGCUUGCAGGGCACAAAGAAACAGAGUAAAUGUGCAACAGGCUAUUUUCUUGAAUGAAUGGAUUCAUAAUAAGAACAGGACUUCACCAGCUUCCAAGGGACCCUCCCCACCUCUCGGAUAUAUUCUGAAGCCUAAAUUUCACCUGCUUAUCUAGGAUCCUAGGCCAGGCCUUCUGCCACACCAAGCCACACCAAGCUCAGCAGUACUCACAGGCCUUUAAUCUAUAACUGCCUG